rnacentral:rRNA from 1 species
GACGAACGCUGGCGGCGUGCCUAAUACAUGCAAGUUGAGCACUGAAGGUUGGUACUUGUACCAACUGGGUGAGCAGCGAACGGGUGAGUAACGCGUGGGGAAUCUGCCUUUGAGCGGGGGACAACAUUUGGAAACGAAUGCUAAUACCGCAUAAAAACUUUAAACACAAGUUUUAAGUUUGAAAGAUGCAAUUGCAUCACUCAAAGAUGAUCCCGCGUUGUAUUAGCUAGUUGGUGAGGUAAAGGCUCACCAAGGCGAUGAUACAUAGCCGACCUGAGAGGGUGGUCGGCCACAAUGGGACUGAGACACGGCCCAAACUCCUACGGGAGGCAGCAGUAGGGGAACUUCGGCAAUGGACGAAAGUCUGACCGAGCAACGCCGCGUGGGUGAAGAAGGGUUUCGGAUCGUAAAACUCUGUUGGUAGAGAAGAAAGUUGGUGAGAGUGGAAAGCUCAUCAAGUGACGGUAACUACCCAGAAAGGGACGGCUAACUACGUG